UGUCUCUAAUUCUGAUAUUGAAAAAGAUAACAUGUCUGUACUGAAGCAGACAGUGAAUAAAAGAAAUGGAAAUUCAUCAUCGUCAUCUGCAAUUAACAAACAAAGUCCUAUGAGGGACAUGGUCGCUAAAUCAAAAUUGUGGAAAGACGAGCAGACUAUGACGUUGACGAGAGCUGGGGAGAAGGUUUGGAUGCUUAUUUCACUUCAAAUGAUGGGCAACAAUAUGAAAGAGACUAUGACGACGACGAGAGCUAGGGAGAAGGUUUGGAUGCUUAUUUCACUUCAAAUGAUGGGCAACAAUAUGAAGAAGACACUGACGGAGAUGAAUUUGAG
rnacentral:lncRNA from 1 species